ACUCCGGUUGAUCCUGCCGGACCCCACCGCUAUCGGGGUGAGACUUAGGCAUGUUAGUCGUACGCCUCCCAGCCGUCGGGGGAGGAGUGGCGUACGGCUCAGUAACACGUAGUUAACCUGCCCUCAGGACAGAGAUAACUCCGGGAAACUGGGGUUAAUGUCUGAUAGAUGAGGAAGCCUGGAAUGGUUCCCCUUCGAAAAGACGUUGGAACCGUGCUUUCAACGUCGCCUGAGGAUGAGACUGCGGCCGAUCAGGUUGUUGGUGAGGUAACGGCUCACCAAGCCUAUAACCGGUACGGGCCGUGAGAGCGGUAGCCUGGAGAUGGGCACUGAGACAAGGGCCCAGGCCCUACGGGGCGCAGCAGUCGCGAAAACUCUGCAAUACGCGAAAGCGUGACAGGGUUACCCCGAGUGCCGUCCGCUGAGGACAGCUUUUCUCUGGUGUAAUGAGCCGGAGGAAUAAGGGGAGGGCAAGACUGGUGUCAGCCGCCGCGGUAAUACCAGCUCCCCGAGUGGUGGGGAUGAUUAUUGGGCCUGAAGCGUCCGUAGCCGGCUCGAUAAGUCUUCCGUUAAAUCCAACGAUCCAAUCGUUGGACUGCGGGAGAUACUGUCGGGCUAGGGGACGGGAGAAGCCGACGGUAUUUCUAGGGUAGGGGUGAUAUCCUAUAAUCCUAGAAGGACCACCAGUGGCGAAGGCGGUCGGCUAGAACGCGCCCGACGGUGAGGGACGAAAGCUGGGGGAGCGAACCGGAUUAGAUACCCGGGUAGUCCCAGCUGUAAACGAUGCAGGCUGGGUGUUGGAUUGGCUACGAGCCAAUCCGGUGCCGCAAGGAAGCCGUUAAGCCUGCCGCCUGGGGAGUACGGUCGCAAGACUGAAACUUAAAGGAAUUGGCGGGGGAGCACCACAAGGGGUGAAGCUUGCGGUUCAAUUGGAGUCAACACCGGGAACCUUACCGGAGGCGACAGCAGAAUGAAGGCCAGAUUGAAGGUCUUGCCAGACAAGCUGAGAGGAGGUGCAUGGCCGUCGCCAGUUCGUGCCGUGAGGUGUCCUGUUAAGUCAGGCAACGAUCGAGACCCACACUUCUUGUUGCCAGCGGCACCCCAUUGGGGGCCGGGCACACUAGGAGGACCGCCACCGAUAAGGUGGAGGAAGGAGUGGGCCACGGCAGGUCAGUAUGCCCCGAAUCCUCCGGGCCACACGCGAGCUGCAAUGGUAGGGACAACGGGUUCCAACUCCGAGAGGAGGAGGUAAUCUCUAAACCCUAUCUCAGUUGGGAUCGAGGGCUGCAACUCGCCCUCGUGAACAUGGAAUCCCUAGUAAUCGCGCGUCAUCAACGCGCGGUGAAUACGUCCCCGCUCCUUGCACACACCGCCCGUCGCUCCAUCCGAGUGGAGUCGGGAUGAGGCGUGGUCUUUUGGCUGCGUCGAAUCCGGGUUCCGCGAGAAGGGAGAAGUCGUAACAAGGUGGCCGUAGGGGAACCUGCGGCCGGAUCACCUCCU
rnacentral:rRNA from 1 species